UACAGAGGGUGCGAGCGUUGUUCGGAAUUAUUGGGCGUAAAGGGCGCGUAGGCGGUGCGGUAAGUCACCUGUGAAAUCUCCUGGCUCAACUGGGAGCCUGCAGGCGAAACUGCCGUGCUGGAGUGUGGGAGAGGUGCGUGGAAUUCCUGGUGUAGCGGUGAAAUGCGUAGAUAUCAGGAGGAACACCUGUGGCGAAAGCGGCGCACUGGACCACAACUGACGCUGAGGCGCGAAAGCGUGGGGAGCAAACAGG
rnacentral:rRNA from 1 species